AGCUUUCUGCAGGGGCAGUAUCAUAGCCAAUGACGUUUAUCCAGAGCAUGAUUAUUGCUAAUUGAGAAGAAAAUGACCACUAGAGGUGUAAAUUUAGAUACCAGGGGGGCAUCUGUUUCUAUUGAAUUACUAUUGUUUAAAAU
rfam:Otolemur garnettii contig067372, whole genome shotgun sequence.